rnacentral:rRNA from 1 species
UGGGGAAUUUUGGACAAUGGGCGAAAGCCUGAUCCAGCAAUGCCGCGUGUGUGAAGAAGGCCUUCGGGUUGUAAAGCACUUUUGUCCGGAAAGAAAUCCUUGGCUCUAAUACAGUCGGGGGAUGACGGUACCGGAAGAAUAAGCACCGGCUAACUACGUGCCAGCAGCCGCGGUAAUACGUAGGGUGCAAGCGUUAAUCGGAAUUACUGGGCGUAAAGCGUGCGCAGGCGGUUUGCUAAGACCGAUGUGAAAUCCCCGGGCUCAACCUGGGAACUGCAUUGGUGACUGGCAGGCUAGAGUAUGGCAGAGGGGGGUAGAAUUCCACGUGUAGCAGUGAAAUGCGUAGAGAUGUGGAGGAAUACCGAUGGCGAAGGCAGCCCCCUGGGCCAAUACUGACGCUCAUGCACGAAAGCGUGGGGAGCAAACAGGAUUAGAUACCCUGGUAGUCCACGCCCUAAACGAUGUCAACUAGUUGUUGGGGAUUCAUUUCCUUAGUAACGUAGCUAACGCGUGAAGUUGACCGCCU